rnacentral:rRNA from 1 species
UACGUAGGGUGCGAGCGUUGUCCGGAAUUAUUGGGCGUAAAGAGCUCGUAGGCGGUGUGUCGCGUCGGCCGUGAAAACCUGCAGCUUAACUGUGGGCUUGCGGUCGAUACGGGCAGGCUGGAGUUCGGUAGGGGAGACUGGAAUUCCUGGUGUAGCGGUGAAAUGCGCAGAUAUCAGGAGGAACACCGAUGGCGAAGGCAGGUCUCUGGGCAUUAACUGACGCUGAGGAGCGAAAGCAUGGGGAGCGAACAGG